AGGGAAUUUUCCGCAAUGGGCGAAAGCCUGACGGAGCAAUGCCGCGUGAGUGAGGACGGCCUUCGGGUUGUAAAACUCUGUUCUUGAGGAAGAAACCCUGGGAAGUGAAUACCUUCCCAGGCUGACGGUACUCAAGGAAAAAGCCCCGGCUAACUACGUGCCAGCAGCCGCGGUAAUACGUAGGGGGCGAGCGUUAUCCGGAAUUAUUGGGCGUAAAGCGCGCGCAGGCGGUCGGUUAAGUCAGGGGUGAAAGGCUGCGGCUCAACCGCAGAGCGGCACCUGAAACUGGUCGGCUUGAGUGCAGGAGAGGGGAGCGGAAUUCCCGGUGUAGCGGUGGAAUGCGUAGAGAUCGGGAGGAACACCAGUGGCGAAGGCGGCUCUCUGGCCUGUAACUGACGCUGAGGCGCGAAAGCGUGGGGAGCAAAC
rnacentral:rRNA from 1 species